rnacentral:lncRNA from 1 species
ACCCUCGUAGAAAAGAGGUAGCAAAAUAAACAACAUCAACAGCAACUUGGUUCUGGUUUCUCUAUAGCGCUAAGUUGCGAUGGUACCAAAUACUCCAAUUGAGUGAAAAAAUCAUAUGAUGACGCUCAAUAUCAGAUCGAGAGAGGACCGAACCAAUAAACUCGAAAGAUGUACGUGGUUGGAAAUCAAAUCCAACCAAACACCAAACCUCUAUCGCGAAAAAGCAAUGAGAAAUCACAUGUUCCACAUUUUCAUUUGCUUGAUGACACCGGAAACAAACAGGUCA